rnacentral:rRNA from 1 species
AUGAGUCUACCGCUUACAAGAAAAGAUCUCAUGAUAGUCAAUAUGGGCCCUCAACACCCAUCAAUGCAUGGUGUUCUUCGACUGAUCGUUACUCUCGAUGGUGAGGAUGUUAUUGACUGUGAACCCAUAUUAGGCUAUUUACACAGAGGAAUGGAGAAAAACGCGGAAAACCGAACUAUUAUACAAUACUUACGUUAUGUAACAAGGUGGGAUUAUUUAGCUACUACGUUUACAGAAGCGAUAACAGUAAAUGCACCAGAAUUCUUGGAGAAUAUUCAAAUACCACAAAGAGCCAACUAUAUUAGGGUAAUUAUGUUAGAAUUACGGGUAGCUUCUCACUUGCUAUGGCUUGGACCUUUUAUGGCGGAUCUCGGCGCACAAACUCCUUUUUUCUAUAUUUUUAGAGAAAGAGAGAGAGAAUUAAUAUAUGAUCUAUUUGAAGUUGCUACAGGUUUUAUUAGUGGAGAAGAAGCAGUAAAUUAGGGCUUAUCGGGACCGAUGUUAUGAGCUUCUAGAAUACAAUGGGAUCUUCGUAAAGUAGAUCCUUAUGAGUCUUACAACCAAUUUGAUUGGAAAGUCCAAUGGCAAAAAGAAGGGGAUUCGUUAGCUCGCUAUUUAGUACGAAUUGGUGAAAUGAGGGAAUCCAUCAAAAUAAUUCAACAAGCCAUAGAAAAAAUUCCUGGAGGACCUUAUGAGAAUUUAGAAGUCCGACGCUUUAAGAAAGAAAAGAAUUCUGAGUGGAAUGAUUUUGAGUAUAAAUUUCUUGGUAAAAAAGCUUCGCCCAAUUUUGAAUUGUCAAGGCAAGAGCUUUAUGUAAGAGUAGAAGCCCCAAAAGGUGAAUUAGGGAUUUGUCUAGUAGGAGAUGAUAGCCUUUUCCACUGGAGAUGGAAAAUCCGUCCACCCGGGUUUAUUAAUUUGCAAAUUCUUCCUCAACUAGUUAAAAUGAAAUUGGCUGAUAUCAUGACGAUAUUAGGUAGUAUAGAUAUCAUUAUGGGGGAAGUGGAUCGUUGA